AUUGAACGCUGGCGGCAUGCCUUACACAUGCAAGUCGAACGGUAACGCGGGGCAACCUGGCGACGAGUGGCGAACGGGUGAAUAACGCAUCGGUACGUGCCCAAUAGUGGGGGAUAGCCCGGCGAAAGCAGGAUUAAUACAGCAUAAGACCUAAGGGUGACAGCAGGGGAUCGCAAGCACUUGCGUUAAUGGAGCGGCCGGUGUCAGAUUCGGUUGUUGGUGGGGAAAAAGCCUACCAAGCCGACGAUCUGUAGCUGGUCUGAGAUGACGACCAGCCACACUGGGACUGAGACACGGCCCAGACUCCUACGGGAGGCAGCAGUGGGGAAUUUUGGACAAUGGGCGAAAGCCUGAUCCAGCCAUGCCGCGUGCGGGAUGAAGGCCUUCGGGUUGUAAACCGCUUUUGUUAGGGAAGGAAUCGUUUGAGCUAAUACCUCGGAAGGAUGACGUUACCUAAAGAAUAAGCACCGGCUAACUACGUGCCAGCCGCCGCUGUAA
rnacentral:rRNA from 1 species